rnacentral:rRNA from 1 species
UACAGAGGCCUCAAGCGUUGCGCGGAAUCACUGGGCUUAAAGGGUGCGUAGGCGGAUGUGCAAGUGCCUUGUGAAAUCCCAGAGCUCAACUCUGGAACUGCUUGGUAGACUGCGUGUCUUGAGGUCGGUAGAGGUCGCUGGAACGGUUGGUGGAGCGGUGAAAUGCGUAGAUAUCAACCGGAACGCCCAAGGUGAAGACAAGCGACUGGGCCGAUUCUGACGCUGAGGCACGAAAGCGUGGGGAUCAAGCGGG